CUAGCUCUCUCCAAUGACACUCAGCCCCAACCGUUGUGUUUCAGCCCUGGUGAGAAGCCAGGAUUCCUGCCCCCGAGGGAGCUGAGCAAGUACAGCCCCCUGAUCAAGAGUCACUCCAUGACCAACAUCCAGAAGGGCCGGGGGAAGGAGGAUGAGCAGCAUCUCCAGCAACUGCCUGCCUCCCCACGCCAGGCCUGGGAGAGGAGGAAGGUGCAGCGCACCCAGAGUGUGCCAGCCCAGAGCAAGGCAGGACGCAGGCUGCAGAAGCAGAGCAGCAUGGAGCACGUGGUUGAGUCCCAGGGAGAAGAGAGUCACGAUGAGAGCCCUCGCCCCUCUACCUUCCGCCCACGGGAUGGCCGAGCCCACCCGGGGCGAUCCAAUCUCCGCCAAUCUGCCUCGCUGCCCCGGAAGUCCACGGUUCCCUGGCAGCGCCACGCUGAGGAAGCAGCCAAGGCACAGACUGAGCUGUACGCCAUGCGGCCGCUGGAGAAGCAUGGGAAGCAAAUUGAGGAGCUGAGGAAGGAGUUGGCAGAGUCCAGGGAGAAGCAGAGGCUCUUUGAGAGCCAGCUGGAAAUGCUGGUCACCCAGAACCAGACACUGCUGGAGGAGCAGGCCAAAAGCCAGGGGCAGGAGGAGAGACUCCGGAGGCAGCUGGAGAAGCUGGAAACCCACCUGGCAAACCUCAGCACCAGGGUGGCGGCGGCAGAGGGCAGCCGGAGGAAGGACCAGGAGAAGCUGAGGGCCAGCGAGGAGAGGACGAAGCGUCUGGUAAAAUCCACGUCCCCCUGGGGCUGACGAGCCCAGCAGCUCCGCCCAAUUGGUCUAUCAGGGAGUAACCGAGGGGAUUCUGGGAGCCACCCUGCACAGUGUAUUAUG
rnacentral:lncRNA from 1 species